AUUGAACGCUGGCGGCAGGCCUAACACAUGCAAGUCGAACGAGUGGCGGACGGGUGAGUAAUGUCUGGGAAACUGCCCGAUGGAGGGGGAUAACUACUGGAAACGGUAGCUAAUACCGCCUACCAUCGGAUGUGCCCAGAUGGGAUUAGCUAGUAGGUGGGGUAACGGCUCACCUAGGCGACGAUCCCUAGCUGGUCUGAGGGGAUGACCAGCCAAAUGGGAACGGGGACAGGGUCCAGACGCCUACGGGAGGCGGAAGUGGGGAAUAUUGGACAUGGGGGGCAAGCCUGAUGCAGACAUGCCGGGUGUAUGAGGAAGGCCUUCGGGUUGUAAAGUACUUUCAGCGAGGAGGCGUUACUCGCAGAAGAAGCACCGGCUAACUCCGUGCCAGCAGCCGCGGUAAUUC
rnacentral:rRNA from 1 species